UGGCAAGGCAGCUCUGCUGCUUCAGCCCCAGCUGAUCAUACAAUCACAGAAUCCUCAAGGUUGGAAAAGAUCUCUAAGAUCAUAUAGUCCAACUACCAACCCAUCACCACCAAGCUCACUAAGCCAUGUCACUCCGUGUGACAUCUAUCCUUUUCUCGAACACCUCCAGAGACAACGAACCUACUGCUGCCUGGGCAACCUGUUGAUGCUACAGGCCCUGCAAAGAGCUCCUGGAACAGUGAGGAGAGGGACAUGGGUUGCAGCUGCUGGGUUCACCUGCUGCCCCUUUCCCAGCUCAGGGCACAGCUGGGAGGGAAAGGAAGGCAAAGUUGUAAGCAGUAACAUACUACUUCCCAGCGGCCAGGUAUUCUCCACAGAAGUUGUUCUGAAAGCUAAACAACACCAUCCCUUCGAAAUAAGAAAAGAUGGGUUUUUAUGGCUGGGGGAAGUCAGGAUCCUGACUGGGUCCUGAAGCAAAAGCAUCAGCGAGAGACACGAUGCGCAGAUUAGAAAAGGAGACCCCCAGGCUAAAAACCUGAGUUAUCUGACCGACGCUGCAAGAAUGAAUGCCAAUCACAAUGAAAAUCCGAGACCCAAGACAGGACUGCAGCUGCUCUCUGGAACGAGAUUUCUUAGAUGUUUAUAUGCACCUCCCUUAGUCCUCUCUGCUUGCUGAAACCUCUCCAAAAGGCUUCCAACGAACCCACCUGCUUCACUGGUGAGUGGGCCACAGCCACACAGCCCUGUCCUGCUGGGGAGCUGGCAGCAAUGCAUGAUCCUGUGCCAUGGGGGAACUGAGCACCAGGCAGCACAGUAUGAGAUGGAAGGGCAGACAUGCACAUGCAUUGGAGUAUAGAAAGGUACGAUCCUAAUACUAGUGUGGCCUUAAAAUAGCAUGUUGCCUCCACUGGCAGGCAAUAGCCUUGGGCAGUAUCCACUUGCUAGCCCCUCCCCAUGUAUUGCAGAGGGGGCAAAUGGGAAGCACAUGCUAAACACCUUCCUAAGACCAUUUUGAUCCAUUAAUAGAAAACCUGCAAGGAGCUUGGGCCACAUGUUUGCCUUGAUAGCGCUCAGAAACAUCUGCAGCUUCAGCCUGGAUGUUUGGAGGGCACGACGUGGGGACCGGUGGUGAUAACAGUGGUGGUAAUUCUGGAAAUAACACUGGGCUGAGCUGACCCCUGAUAUAAUCCUGCUCCGAUCAAUGGGGUUAUCAGGAUUUUUUGAAAGGUGAACCUGGACAGCUUCACACUGCAUUUUUAUAAUGGUGCAAAGAGAGACAGCUUCUUUGGUCUCUUUUAAAAGAUCCUCCCUCAUCCUUUUACCCAGGUAAAGCUGUGCCUGCACAAAGCAGCCCUUGCAUACAUGAAAGUUGAAGUGUGUGGCUCUAAAGGAAACAAAAGGACCAGAACUACCUCACCUUUCCCAACACUUCCCUGACAUCGUUUUUCCUCCUUCAUUAGCCUCGAACGUUACAAUUCUGAUAUUUGUGUGCAACAA
rnacentral:lncRNA from 1 species